CCUUUUCCCGCGCGAAUAUUAUCCACUCAUUUCUCUGCUAUGCAUUCUUUCUUCUUUUUUAAUAUGCAAUUCAAGUCCAUCUGCUCUACACCAUUCCCAUCAGCUUCUUCUCUUUCAAUCAUUUCUGCGUUAAGCCAGCUUUGUCUGUUUUCUGUCUGCCUUAAAUUUACAGCAAAGCCUCAACCUUAGCUGUGAAGCAUUUUUCUUUGUUUUAGUUUAUAUCUCAUGGCAACAUCUUCUAGCAGUAGUGGCGCCUUUGAUGCAGUAAUGUUUCAAUUGUAUCUAGUGGCAUGCUCUUCUAGCAGUAUGCGUGCUUUCGAUGCAAUAAUGUUUCAAUUGUAUCGAAUGGCAUACUCUUAUCGUAGUAGUGGUGCUUUUGAUGCAGUAAUGUUUCAAUAUUAUCUAAUGGCAUCCUCUUCCAACACUGCUGGUAUUUUUUAUGCAAUAAAUGCCAUCUGCUCCUACUUUUGUUGCAUCCUCGUCUGGAACCAAACUCUUGCGCUAUGAUAUAUUCAUAAAUCAUUGUGGACAAGAUGUCAAACACACUCUCGCCAGCAAGAUCUACGAUUCCUUAGAUGCCACGGGAUUGAAAGUGUUUCUGGAUAAAGAUGAGUUGGAUCUUGCGGAUUACUUUCCCAAAGCCAUAGAAGAAGCAAUCAAAAGUUCUUCUCUUCAUAUCGCCAUAUUUUCUGAACAUUAUGCACAAUCCCCCUGGUGUUUGGCCGAAUUGUUUUGUAUGCUACAAACCCCCAGCAAAUUUAUGCCCAUUUUCUAUCAUGUUGAUCCUUCUGAUUUAAGAUGGGCGAUUGAAGGAAAAGGAAUUUAUAAAGGUGCCUUUUCUGAUUAUGUAGAGAAGAAAAGAUACCCUUCCGAACUGCAACGUUGGAAACAGGCACUCCAACAAGCUUCCCUUUUUACUGGCGACAUAAUUAAGAAAGAGAAUCAGGGCUGAACGUGUUGAAAGAGCAGGAUCUCUGAGCAAAUACUUAAACACAGGAUUGCACGCCGACUGAGAUGCAUCUAACAACAUUACUUAUCAUCAUGAGUUUGCAGUAGUAGAAAUGAGAAGAGAGGAAAACCCGGAAAUCGGUUUUCAAUGUGUGGCAACCGUACGUGCAGACCGGUGAUGAGUUUAGUGCCGUCUUUAUGCGGCUUUUCCGUCAGAAUCUUGAUGAUUCAAUAAACGAAUUAAUGAAAGCUGGAUUGAUGGUCUGCGUAAUUACUUUGUUUUGUUUAUUUGUACUAGCUCUAUACUUUCAAUUAGUAUAAAUGAUACUAUGGGAAUGCGCGUGUUAGAUUUUUUUGUUCUUCGUCAGGUUAUGCGUAAGGUAAUAAUUGAAGGAUCUUAGAUAGAUAAUUUUUUUUAAUUUUCUGUUAUAGCUUUUGUAGUUGUUUAAGUUUAUUCUAAAAUAGUGUCUGUGAAUUUGGAGGGCGAGGAAAAAUCUUGCCUCGAUCUUGAAUACGAAUGACUGCUGUUUCUGUAUAUGAUCGCACACAAAGGGGGGUCACCGUAAAUAUAAGACGAGAAACCGGGGGUAACAAUACAGACAAUCUAGUGUGGGCAGUAUAUUUAGAUGACAAGUUAGUGGGUCAUUGGCGUGCUGGGCUUUUCCAGGACUUUGACAUUUUUCGCCAAUUUAGUUCAAUUAGGAGGAGAAGUAGCUGUACUAUCUGGUAGUCAAGGAACUCCAUUCUCAAAGACGAACAUGGGUAGUGGAAACUUUGCAGAGGAAAGGAAUAAAAAAGCAGGUUAUAUUGGGAAUAUAGAAUUGUUUACUACUAAUGGUGUUCUUAUAUCAGACAUGCCUCGGAGUUAUAUCUCAGCUAAAAAGGAUUGUUAUAAUGUAAAAGGAUAUUUUAUAAAAGAUCACUCUUGGGGAUACUGUAUAUAUUAUGAA